GCAUUGGUCGAAGUGGCAUGCAUACCUAGCAGUCCUAUCCGUCAUCGAUUUGUCCGAAAGCCCAUGGAAUUCCUUACCCUAACGGGUAAGAUAUGUUCUAUCCUUUCCAUUUGUGGAAGUUCAUCAUUCUGAAGCAAACUUUGUAAAAAUCUAAUCGUCGUUCCGGUAAAUGGUAUACAGUACAAUCCCUGCCUGUCUCUAUCCACUCAGUAAGAGUGUUCUAAAAUCCCAAGUCAGGUGUGACUCAUCAAAUACCACCGCACAGAAAAAGCUACUAGUAGAUCUUAUUCCUUUCCUCAAUGAGUGUAUCAUUGGAGGGUAACAAUGCCUUGUUUAAAGACCGAAGGGACUAGAACAAACAAACAGUUACUCAUAGUAGUAGCCACUGCUUGUUUGAGCUGACUUGCUUAUCUUGUUCCACAGUCCUACAAUCAGAAAAGGACAGGAAGGGCCCCGCUUCGAGAAUUCAGAUACCUUACCUUACCCGCUUCAAGAAUUCAGAUACCUUACCUUGAUUUCAGAAGCUAUCGAAACUAUUCCGAAGUUGAUGAUUUCGUUCUAGCUAGGGCAAUAGCAGGGAAAGAGAGAAGUUCACGCUCUCCAACUAAGAAGCACUCACCUCCUAAUAGAAGAGAUAACGUAAGGAAGAAAGAAGAGAGCUAGCAUAAGCAGAGCUACCAGCUAUACUACCAUAAGAGCAGCUACUAUAAGUCCUAAAGAAAGAGCCAGUAUCUGUCCUUCACUCUUAAGGAAAGGAUAGACCUUAGCGCCUCCUCUUGAUUAC
rnacentral:lncRNA from 1 species